CCUACGGGUGGCAGCAGUGAGGAAUAUUGGUCAAUGGGCGCGAGCCUGAACCAGCCAAGUCGCGUGAAGGAUGACUGCCCUACGGGUUGUAAACUUCUUUUAUAAAGGAAUAAAGUGAGGCACGUGUGCCUUUUUGUAUGUACUUUAUGAAUAAGGAUCGGCUAACUCCAGGCCAGCAGCCGCGGUAAUACGGAGGAUCCGAGCGUUGUCCGGAGUGACUGGGCUUAAAGUGAACGUAGAUGGGUUGUUAAGUCAGUAGUGAAAGAUUGCGGCUCAACUGUAGAAUUGCAAUUGAUACUGGAAGACUAGAGUAUAAGUGAGGUAUGCAGAAUUCCUGGUGUAGCGGUGAAAUGCGUAGAUAUCACGAAGAACACCGAUUGCGAAGGCAGCAAACU
rnacentral:rRNA from 1 species